rnacentral:rRNA from 1 species
GAUGAACGCUGGCGGCGUGCCUAAUACAUGCAAGUCGAGCGAACAGAUGAGGAGCUUGCUCCUCUGACGUUAGCGGCGGACGGGUGAGUAACACGUGGAUAACCUACCUAUAAGACUGGGAUAACUUCGGGAAACCGGAGCUACUACCGGAUAAUAUAUUGAACCUCAUGGUUCAAUAGUGAAAGACGGUUUUGCUGUCACUUAUAGAUGGAUCCGCGCCGCAUUAGCUAGUUGGUAAGGUAACGGCUUACCAAGGCAACGAUGCGUAGCCGACCUGAGAGGGUGAUCGGCCACACUGGAACUGAGACACGGUCCAGACUCCUACGGGAGGCAGCAGUAGGGAAUCUUCCGCAAUGGGCGAAGGCCUGACGGAGCAACGCCGCGUGAGUGAUGAAGGUCUUCGGAUCGUAGAACUCUGUUAUUAGGGAAGAACAAAUGUGUAAGUAACUAUGCGCGUCUUGACGGUACCUAAUCAGAAAGCCACGGCUAACUACGUG